rnacentral:ncRNA from 1 species
AUCCGGGAAUGAAGUUCUCCCGUGGGCGGGCGUGACAGGCCUGUCCUAAACCGCUUUGCUUUAAGCUGAUGACUUCUGCGA